rnacentral:tRNA from 1 species
GGGGUUGUGGCUCAGCAGUAGCGCUCUCAUCUAGCAUAUGUGAGGCCCUGGGUUCGAUCCUCAGCACCACA